rnacentral:rRNA from 1 species
GACGAACGCUGGCGGCGUGCUUAACACAUGCAAGUCGAACGGUGAAGCGCCUUCCUUUUUGGUGGGUGUGGAUGAGUGGCGAACGGGUGAGUAACACGUGAGUAACCUGCCCCCUUCUUCUGGAUAACCGCAUGAAAGUGUGGCUAAUACGGGAUAUUCUGGGUCUGUCGCAUGAUGGGUCUGGGAAAGAUAUUGUUUCGGUGGGGGAUGGGCUCGCGGCCUAUCAGCUUGUUGGUGGGGUGAUGGCCUACCAAGGCGGUGACGGGUAGCCGGCCUGAGAGGGUUGGCCGUCACGAUGGGGAUGGAACCCCGGCCCGACUCCUACGGGGAGCAGCCGGGGGGAAUAGUUCAAAAUUGGCGGAAGGCUGGAGCCACGGCGCCGGGGGGAGGAAGGAGGCCUUCGGGUUGUGAACCUCUUUCGCCAGUGAAGCAGGCCUGCCUCGUUUGUGGGUGGGUUGACGGUAGCUGGAGAAGAAGCGCCGGCUAACUACGUG